UCUCUCUCUCUCUCUCUCGAUGUAGGAUUGUGGGUGAUCAUCAAUGCUAUGUCACAUUUCCCAGAAAUCCUCAAAAAGAAGCAAAAGCAAGUGUCAUUGGAUAAGUUCCUUUUUAAAGUUGCACAAAAAGAAAAAGAAUCCGUUGAGCCAACAGACAGCAGUGAUUCUGUCAGUGGUAGUGAAAGUCGUCCUACACAGUAAGCCUCCUCUCUCAUCUCCCUCACACCAGCUACAAAGUUUUUCAAAGGCUGCAGAUGUUUCUACAGCUGUGUGAGCUUCAUCUUGGUCUCCUGGGACCCCCAAAGCCUCCUCUCGGGACCAACCAGCCCCAAGCCAGGGACUGUGGGAGGAGCAAAUGGGAGGACGCUUGCAAAUCCCCCAGCAAAAAAGUCUGGCACGAAGGAGACCUCCA